GACGAACGCUGGCGGCGUGCCUAAUACAUGCAAGUAGAACGCUGAAGGAGGAGCUUGCUUCUAUGGAUGAGUUGCGAACGGGUGAGUAACGCGUAGGUAACCUGCCUGGUAGCGGGGGAUAACUAUUGGAAACGAUAGCUAAUACCGCAUAAUAGCAGUUGUUGCAUGAUAACUGUUUGAAAGGUGCAAUUGCACCACUACCAGAUGGACCUGCGUUGUAUUAGCUAGUUGGUGGGGUAACGGCUCACCAAGGCGACGAUACAUAGCCGACCUGAGAGGGUGAUCAGCCACACUGAGACUGAGACACGGCCCAGACUCCUACGGGAGGCAGCAGUAGGGAAUCUUCGGCAAUGGACGGAAGUCUGACCGAGCAACGCCGCGUGAGUGAAGAAGGUUUUCGGAUCGUAAAGCUCUGUUGUAAGAGAAGAACGAGUGUGAGAGUGGAAAGUUCACACUGUGACGGUAUCUUACCAGAAAGGGACGGCUAACUACGUG
rnacentral:rRNA from 1 species